AUGGUCAUGAGGGCACUUGCUCAGCUAGUGGGGCUCCUGCUCCUCUGGCUUCCAGAGGUAAGAUGUGACAUCCAGUUGACCCACUCUCCAUCUGUGUCUGCAUCUUUAGGACCCACAGUCAUCAUCAGUUGCCAAGCCAGCCAGGGUAUUAGCAAUAAUUUACACGGGUAUCAGCAGACACCAGGGAAAGCUCCUAAACUUCUAAUCCAUUAUGCAAACACUUUGGAGUCUGGGGUCCCCUCCAGGUUCAGUGGCAGUAGAUCUGGGACAGAUUUCACUCUCACCAUCAGCAGCCUGCAGCUUGAAGAUGUUUCAACUUAUUACUGUCACCAGGAUUAUAGUUCCCCUCCCACAGUGAUACAAGCCAUGACAUAA